UGGGAAGUGGCUGCAUCGUUCCCUCUGGUCUUGCUCUUGCUGGUGGUCGUGGUGACACGACCUGGCCGCAAGUGGCGGGCGGCUUCCGGGUUGUGAACCAGAGUUGGUGCCUCUGUUUGCCGGCUUUCCCAAAGACCAAGUGCUCCAGUUCCUGAAGACAAGUGGAAGACCAACGGGGGAAGCGACAUUUUGGAUACAAGACAUGAACAAGUGCCCUCAGUGGUAUAGAAGAAAUGGAAAUGGAAACUCUGCUCACCUGGCAUUAAAUUUAGGUGUUUCUCAGCAUCUUUGGCAUUUGGAGCAAAAAGAUGAGAAUGCUGUUCAGCCAAUAUCUUUGUAACAGCAGUGUGCAACCCUAAGCAAAGGAACUACAAGGCUGUGUCUGUAUUCC